UUUCUACUUCAUUCCUCAAGUAGAUUAAAUGUGGAUCUCAUAGUUGCCCCUUUUUAAUAUGUUGAAUGAGAUCAGAUUGCACAUAGAUAGAGGCCAUCAAUAUCAUUGAGUCAUGCCCUUUUCUCAUAAUAUUUAAAUCAUAAUUUGGGUCAUUUCGAACACACACUCUAUCCCAAAUCUCAAUAAGCCAUCCUCUAAAAUUUAAAAAUUUGAUUUCACCACCUUUCCAACUUCAUUCCUCGAUAGGACAAGAUGUACUUGGCAUCCCAGAUUCCUAAAAGAUAUCAAAAAUUUUUUUCAUCGAUCUCUAUUUGAUUUACUAAAUCUCAGUAUAAUUUUGCAUAUCGAAUGUAUCAAAUAUCUUAGUGAUCCUCAAAUAAUGUUCUGAUACCUCCUCUAUCAAGCCCCCCGAAUUAUCACAUUCAGGAGGUGUGACCCUCUCUUAAAAUCCAUAAUAUUAAAAUUUAAUCAACAAUAUAAUACAAAAUCCAAAC
rnacentral:lncRNA from 1 species